GAUGAACGCUAGCGGCAGGCUUAAUACAUGCAAGUCGAGGGGCAGCAUGAUUGUAGCAAUACAAUUGAUGGCGACCGGCAAACGGGUGCGGAACACGUACACAACCUUCCAACAAGUGGGGGAUAGCCCAGAGAAAUUUGGAUUAAUACCCCGUAACAUAGCGAUGUGGCAUCACAUUGCUAUUAUAGAUUUUUCGCUUGUUGAUGGGUGUGCGGCUGAUUAGAUAGUUGGCGGGGUAACGGCCCACCAAGUCUACGAUCAGUAGCUGAUGUGAGAGCAUGAUCAGCCACACGGGCACUGAGACACGGGCCCGACUCCUACGGGAGGCAGCAGUAAGGAAUAUUGGGCAAUGGACGCAAGUCUGAUCCAGCCAUGCCGCGUGAAGGAUUAAGGUCCUCUGGAUUGUAAACUUCUUUUAUAAGGGACGAAAAAGGGCUUUUCUAAGUCGUCUGACGGUACCUUAUGAAUAAGCACCGGCUAACUCCGUGCCAGCCGCCGCCGUAACAC
rnacentral:rRNA from 1 species